rnacentral:rRNA from 1 species
UACGUAGGGGGCAAGCGUUGUCCGGAAUCAUUGGGCGUAAAGAGCGUGUAGGCGGCCUGAUAAGUCGGUUGUGAAAGUCAAGGGCUCAACCCUUGAAUGCCGACCGAUACUGUCAGGCUAGAGUCCGGAAGAGGCGAGUGGAAUUCCUGGUGUAGCGGUGAAAUGCGCAGAUAUCAGGAGGAACACCAAUGGCGAAGGCAGCUCGCUGGGACGGUACUGACGCUGAGGAGCGAAAGUGUGGGGAGCGAACAGG